GCACACAGCAGGUGUUUAAUGGGAAGAAGC
rnacentral:piRNA from 1 species